rnacentral:lncRNA from 1 species
AAAAAAAAAAAAAAAAAAAAAAAAAAAUAUAUAUAUAUAAACAAAAAUAUAAACCAAAAUCUAAACCAAAAUCUAAACCAAAAUCUAAACCAAAAUCUAAACCAAAAUCUAAACCAAAAUCUAAACCAAAAUCUAAACCAAAACCAAGACAAACAUAACAGUGAGAGUGAUAUAGAUAAUAAAUUUAAUAAUUUACCCACUAGUAGAUUAAUGUAUGAUGAAAAAUUAGAAUUUGAUUUUUUUUUAAUUCAACAACAAAUUGACUCUUUUGUUAAAGACAAAACAAAUAAAAUACUUAACAAAAAUGGAAGUUUUUUAAAUGAACUGAAUGAAUUAUUUUUUUUUCAAAGUGGAUCGAUAAAUAUAAAUGACAUAACUGGUAACAAUGGUGAUAACAGUAGUGAUAACAGUAGUGACGACAGUAGUGAAGACAGUAGUGAAGACAGUAGUGAAGACAGUAAUGAAGACAGUGAUGACAAUAAAAAGAAUAUACACAGACAAAACAAUAAUAAGUUAAUAUAUUACGAUUUUACAGAAAACAAAAUAUACAAAUCAUUAAAUAUGAACAAUAUACUUAAUUUUAUUAAUAAAUGCGAUAUAUAUAGUGAAGAAAUAAAAAACUAUGACACGAAUAAUAGUAACAACAAUAGUAGUAAUAAUAAAAAAGAAGAGAUUUAUUUUAUGAUCAAUGUUUAG